rnacentral:tRNA from 1 species
GGGGGUGUAGCUCAACUGGGAGAGCGCNGCCCUUGCAAGGCNGAGGUUAGCGGUUCGAUCCCGCUCAUCUCCA